rnacentral:rRNA from 1 species
UACGUAGGGGGCAAGCGUUGUCCGGAUUUAUUGGGCGUAAAGAGCGUGUAGGCGGUUAGGUAGGUCCGUUGUGAAAAACUCGAGGCUCAACCUCGAGACGCCGAUGGAAACCAUCUGACUAGAGUCCGGAAGAGGAGAGUGGAAUUCCUGGUGUAGCGGUGAAAUGCGCAGAUAUCAGGAAGAACACCCGUGGCUAAGGCGGCUCUCUAGUACGUGACUGACGCUGAGACGCGAAAGCGUGGGGAGCGAACAGG